rnacentral:rRNA from 1 species
CCCUGGUAGUCCACGCCGUAAACGAUGUCGACUUGGAGGUUGUUCCCUUGAGGAGUGGCUUCCGGAGCUAACGCGUUAAGUCGACCGCCUGGGGAGUACGGCCGCAAGGUUAAAACUCAAAUGAAUUGACGGGGGCCCGCACAAGCGGUGGAGCAUGUGGUUUAAUUCGAUGCAACGCGAAGAACCUUACCUACUCUUGACAUCCACGGAAUUCGGCAGAGAUGCCUUAGUGCCUUCGGGAACCGUGAGACAGGUGCUGCAUGGCUGUCGUCAGCUCGUGUUGUGAAAUGUUGGGUUAAGUCCCGCAACGAGCGCAACCCUUAUCCUUUGUUGCCAGCGAUUCGGUCGGGAACUCAAAGGAGACUGCCGGUGAUAAACCGGAGGAAGGUGGGGAUGACGUCAAGUCAUCAUGGCCCUUACGAGUAGGGCUACACACGUGCUACAAUGGCGCAUACAAAGAGAAGCGACCUCGCGAGAGCAAGCGGACCUCACAAAGUGCGUCGUAGUCCGGAUCGGAGUCUGCAACUCGACUCCGUGAAGUCGGAAUCGCUAGUAAUCGUGGAUCAGAAUGCCACGGUGAAUACGUUCCCGGGCCUUGUACACACCGCCCGUCACACCAUGGGAGUGGGUUGCAAAAGAAGUAGGUAGCUUAACCUUCGGGAGGGCGCUUACCACUUUGUGAUUCAUGACUGGGGUGAAGU